rnacentral:tRNA from 1 species
GAGGUAGCUCAGUGGCAGAGCAUUUGCCUCGCAUGUGUGAGGCUCUGGGUUCAAUCCCCAGUACUGCA